rnacentral:misc_RNA from 1 species
GAUGAAGAACGCAGCGAAAUGCGAUAAGUAAUGCGAAUUGCAGAAUCCGUGAGUCAUCGAAUCUUUGAACGCACAUUGCGCCCUCUGGUAUUCCGGAGGGCAUGCCUGUUCGAGCGUCAUUAUCACCCCUCAAGCCCGGCUUGUUGUUGGAUGCAGCGCUUAUCCCGCUCCUCCCAAAGAUAAUGACGGCGUCUGCGACGACUCCUGUACACUGAGCUUCCGGGCACGUACACGGCUAGAAGUCCAGACCCGGUCGCCGUCCCCCCCGCGGGGACACCCAUUACCACAAGGUUGACCUCGGAUCAGGUAGGAAUACCCGCUGAACUUAAGCAUAUCAAUAAGCGGAGGA